AUUUCCUGUGUAUUCUCUCCCAGACAUUGCUUAUUAGAACGCAGCAUAUAUUUUGGAAUGUUUAAUUUUCAGUUCUGCCUAGAUUUUCCUGUCGAGUUUUGAUCUACAGUGACCUUCAAAAUGCUGUUUUGGGUAAUUGUGUGUGGGAAUUGAUUGGUCACUGCUCCUUCCACAGGUCUUUGAAGAAUUACUGCUUGACGCCGACUGGAGCAUCAAUGCUGGGAGUUGGAUGUGGCUGUCCUGCAGUUCCUUUUUCCAACAGUUUUUCCACUGCUACUGCCCUGUUGGUUUUGGUAGGAGGACAGACCCCAAUGGAGACUAUAUUAGGCGUUAUUUGCCUGUCCUAAGAGGCUUCCCUGCAAAAUAUAUCUACGAUCCUUGGAAUGCACCAGAAGGUAUCCAGAAGGUAGCCAAAUGUUUGAUAGGCGUUAAUUAUCCCAAACCAAUGGUGAACCAUGCCGAGGCAAGUCGACUGAAUAUUGAAAGAAUGAAGCAGAUCUAUCAGCAGCUCUCCCGCUACAGAGGGCUAGGUCUCCUUGCCUCAGUCCCUUCUAAUCCUAAUGGGAACGGAGGGCUCAUGGGCUAUGCUCCUGGAGAGAAUGUCCCCAGCGGUGGCAGUGGUGGCGGAAGUAAGUGAGACAGUUCUAGACAUGGGGACAUGGUAAAGAGGGGACAACCGAGUACAUGCUCCUGUGGGCCUUGUUGGAAUAGGUUUGACUUUUUGAAAAGCUG
rnacentral:lncRNA from 14 species